rnacentral:rRNA from 1 species
AGAGUUUGAUCCUGGCUCAGGACGAACGCUGGCGGCGCGCUUAACACAUGCAAGUCGAGCGAGAACCGGUCUUCGGACCGGGGAAAGCGGCGAACGGGUGAGUAACACGUGAGUAAUCAACCCUCGGCACCGGGAUAGCUCGGGGAAACCCGAAUUAAUACCGGAUGGCCCAUCCGCCUUUCGGGGCGGCUGGAAAAGGUAGCUUCGGCCUCUGGCCGGGGACGAGCUCGCGGCGGAUUAGCUUGUUGGCGGGGUAAUGGCCCACCAAGGCGACGAUCCGUAGCUGGUCUGAGAGGACGAUCAGCCACACUGGGACUGAGACACGGCCCAGACUCCUACGGGAGGCAGCAGUGGGGAAUCUUGCGCAAUGGGCGAAAGCCUGACGCAGCGACGCCGCGUGAGGGACGAAGGCCUUAGGGUUGUAAACCUCUUUCAGGAGAGACGAAGCCACUCGGGUUAAUAGCCCAGAGGGUGACGGUAUCUCCAGAAGAAGCCCCGGCUAACUACGUGCCAGCCGCCGCGGUAAUAC